rnacentral:rRNA from 1 species
UCUCACGGUCGCGAUGGUACAAGCGGCGUGAUGGCGCCAUGAACCCUCGGCCCCUUGCUGAGGUGUUCGAUGCGCGCGCUGAGCCGCCUGCUCCUGGUCUUCUUCGCCCUGCUCUUCGUGUCGUCCUCUGCGUUCGCACAGACCCUGAGAGAGUUUAUCCUCGUCAUCGGCGAGGAUGACCAGCUCGACGAGCCCAGCCUACGCCUCGCCCUCAGCCUCGCUGACGCCACCGCUGAGCGAGUCGUUGACA